rnacentral:rRNA from 1 species
GACGAACGCUGGCGGCGUGCUUAACACAUGCAAGUCGAACGGAAAGGCCCUGCUUUUGUGGGGUGCUCUAGUGGCGAACGGGUGAGUAACACGUGAGUAACCUGCCCUUGACUUUGGGAUAACUUCAGGAAACUGGGGCUAAUACCGGAUAGGAGCUCCUGCUGCAUGGUGGGGGUUGGAAAGUUUCGGCGGUUGGGGAUGGACUCGCGGCUUAUCAGCUUGUUGGUGGGGUAGUGGCUUACCAAGGCUUUGACGGGUAGCCGGCCUGAGAGGGUGACCGGCCACAUUGGGACUGAGAUACGGCCCAGACUCCUACGGGAGGCAGCAGUGGGGAAUAUUGCACAAUGGGCGGAAGCCUGAUGCAGCAACGCCGCGUGCGGGAUGACGGCCUUCGGGUUGUAAACCGCUUUCGCCUGUGACGAAGCGUGAGUAACGGUAAUGGGUAAAGAAGCACCGGCUAACUACGUG